ensembl:lncRNA
UAACGUUACCGCAGCCACACAUGCUGGUGAGUACCACUUACGUAGCUGUGUAUCUUAACGUCGCUGCCACGUUUAUGUCUCAGGGCGACGUUAUUUUGCUAAGCUAACGGAGCAUAGUUGAUAGUGUACCACUGUUUACGGGUAAGUGUGGGUGUUUUUAGCAGAAUAACUAGCGAGCCGUCAUUCUAGCAAGCAGGCCAAGCUUCAGUAGCACAUCACUGUGCUGGUGGCUCCCAUCGUCCAGGUAGGUGCGAUUUGGUGAAACACAGAAGUAUGUCAAAGUGGCUGAGACUGAAGAUGGCUAUGAUGAUUUCAACACAUUUCUUCAAAAAGUUAUUCAAAAGCUAGAUCUUCCACUUGAGACUGAGCUGCACUUGACAGAUGAAUCAGGGACAGAAGUUGAUGCAGAUGUGUUUGAGGAGCUCUUGCAGGCAGGGAACCUCACUGUUAGGGUGGCAUUGGAAAAGUCAACAGUUGUACUUCAGCAUGAUCUUUCAUAUACUUCGCUGGAGUCACCCAUGUCAGACAACUCAUCUGGGUCAGUGUCAGGAGUGUCCUCGCUAGCAUCCUCUGAUUCAUCAGAUGCAACAGUGAUUGUUCAUACAAACGGAGGGAGGAGAACCCAUGCUGAACGGGAAUCAGCAAAAGAGAUGGUGAGAAAUGCUCUGAAGGCUAAACCAGGAGGAGCCCACCCAUCUCUGUUCGAAGUACAUGUGCUCUAGGCAUCAUCUCUCUAUUUCCCAGCCUCAGAGAUCUAUAGUCGGACAAGGGAUAUGAACACUUCUAUGACCCAGAGAGUGGAUCUGGCUACUUGGCCUGGAGGAUAAAGACUGUUCAGGGCAACACUGCAGCUCAGCCCCAGAGAUGCUCCACAAGCACAACCUAUCAAGAUAGUCCAAAGAGAAAGAGGGAUGUUCUCUGCACUGAUAAGCAGCUGCUUGGUGAGCACUGUCAUGAAGCAAUAUCCUUUUUGAAACAUUCAACUGAUGAAUCAGCCAUCAAAGAGCGAAUGAGGGCCACAUUUCAGUACCGCCAAACACUGGUUCAAGAUCAGCAGUGCUCUUCGACAGUCUUUGACAUCUUCCCACGAUUCCUCGACAUCACUGGCUUGAUUGAACAAGACUUCACCAUGAUGUUUGGAGAGGAAGUGUCGGGCAGAUUUUUGGCAAAAUGGCCUACCUUUUUCAAGCCUAGAAUCCUGGCAGACUGCAAAAAACUGACUUCUAAUGAGCACAUUGAAGAACUCAUGUCAUUGCAGCA